UAGUUGUCGUUGUAGCCGUGUUACACAAAUUGGAAUGAUACAGAGAAGAUUAGCAUGGCCACUGGAUGACACGAACAUUUUGAGAAGCGUUCCUCAUUGGC
ensembl:snRNA U6 U6 spliceosomal RNA